rnacentral:rRNA from 1 species
CCUACGGGAGGCAGCAGUGAGGAAUAUUGGUCAAUGGGCGCGAGCCUGAACCAGCCAAGCAGCGUGAAGGAUGACUGCCCUACGGGUUGUAAACUUCUUUUAUAAAGGAAUAAAGUGAGUCACGUGUGCCUUGUUGACUGUACUUUAUGAAUAAGGAUCGGCUAACCCCGUGCCAGCAGCCGCGGUAAUACGGAGGGUCCGAGCGUUAUCCGGAUUUAUUGGGUGUAAAGGGAGCGUAGAUGGGUUGUUAAGUCAGUUGUGAAAUUUUGCGGCUCAACCGUAGAAUUGCCAUUGAUACUGGCAGUCUUGAGUACAGUUGAGGUAGGCGGAAUUCGUGGUGUAGCGGUGAAAUGCUUAGAUAUCACGAAGAACUCCGAUUGCGAAGGCAGCUUACUAACCUGCCACUGACAUUGAUGCUCGAAAGUGUGGGUAUCAAACAGGAUUAGAUACCCCUGUAGUC